GACGAACGCUGGCGGCGUGCUUAACACAUGCAAGUCGAACGGAAAGGCCCUGCUUUUGUGGGGUGCUCGAGUGGCGAACGGGUGAGUAACACGUGAGUAACCUGCCCUUGACUUUGGGAUAACUUCAGGAAACUGGGGCUAAUACCGGAUAGGAGCUCCUGCUGCAUGGUGGGGGUUGGAAAGUUUCGGCGGUUGGGGAUGGACUCGCGGCUUAUCAGCUUGUUGGUGGGGUAGUGGCUUACCAAGGCUUUGACGGGUAGCCGGCCUGAGAGGGUGACCGGCGACAGUGGGGCUGAGAUACGGCCCAGACUCGUACGGGAGGCAGCAGUGGGGAAUAUGGCGCAAUGGGCGGAAGCCUGGUGCAGCAACGCCGCGUGCGGGAUGACGGCCUUCGGGUUGUAAACCGCUGUCGCCUGUGACGAAGCGGGAGUGACGGUAAUGGGUAAAGAAGCACCGGCUAACUACGUG
rnacentral:rRNA from 1 species